rnacentral:rRNA from 1 species
GGGGAAUUUUCCGCAAUGGGCGAAAGCCUGACGGAGCAAUACCGCGUGAGGGAGGAAGGCUCUUGGGUUGUAAACCUCUUUUCUCAGGGAAUAAUAGAGAAGGUACCUGAGGAAUAAGCAUCGGCUAACUCCGUGCCAGCAGCCGCGGUAAUACGGAGGAUGCAAGCGUUAUCCGGAAUGAUUGGGCGUAAAGCGUCCGCAGGUGGUAUUUCAAGUCUGCUGUCAAAGAGUUUGGCUCAACCAAAUAAAGGCAGUGGAAACUGAAAAACUAGAGUGCGUUCGGGGUAGAGGGAAUUCCUGGUGUAGCGGUGAAAUGCGUAGAGAUCAGGAAGAACACCGGUGGCGAAAGCGCUCUACUAGGCCGCAACUGACACUGAGGGACGAAAGCUAGGGGAGCGAAUGGGAUUAGAUACCCCAGUAGUCCUAGCCGUAAACGAUGGGUACUAGGCGUUGCUUGUAUCGACCCGAGCAGUGCCGUAGCUAACGCGUUAAGUACCCCGCCUGGGGAGUACGCACGCAAGUGUGAAACUCAAAGGAAUUGACGGGGGCCCGCACAAGCGGUGGAGUAUGUGGUUUAAUUCGAUGCAACGCGAAGAACCUUACCAGGGCUUGACAUGUCGCGAAUCUUGAUGAAAGUUAAGAGUGCCUUCGGGAGCGCGAACACAGGUGGUGCAUGGCUGUCGUCAGCUCGUGUCGUGAGAUGUUGGGUUAAGUCCCGCAACGAGCGCAACCCUCGUUUUUAGUUGCCAGCACUUAGGGUGGGCACUCUAAGGAGACUGCCGGUGACAAACCGGAGGAAGGUGGGGAUGACGUCAAGUCAGCAUGCCCCUUACGUCCUGGGCUACACACGUACUACAAUGCAACGGACAAAGGGCAGCAAGCUAGCAAUAGCAAGCAAAUCUCGUAAACCGUUGCUCAGUUCAGAUCGAAGGCUGCAACUCGCCUUCGUGAAGGUGGAAUCGCUAGUAAUUGCAGGUCAGCAUACUGCAGUGAAUUCGUUCCCGGGCCUUGUACACACCGCCCGUCACACCAUGGAAGCUGGUAGUGCCCGAAGUCAUUACCCCAACUGUUCGCAGAGGGGGAUGCCUAAGGCAGGACUGGUGACUGGGGUGAAGUCGUAACAAGGUAGCCGUACCGGAAGGUGUGGCUGGAUCACCUCCU